UACGGAGGGUGCAAGCGUUAUCCGGAUUCACUGGGUUUAAAGGGUGCGUAGGAGGGCAGGUAAGUCAGUGGUGAAAUCUCCAAGCUUAACUUGGAAACUGCCGUUGAUACUAUCUGUCUUGAAUAUUGUGGAGGUGAGCGGAAUAUGUCAUGUAGCGGUGAAAUGCUUAGAUAUGACAUAGAACACCAAUUGCGAAGGCAGCUCACUACACAAUCAUUGACUCUGAGGCACGGAAGCGUGGGGAUCAAACAGG
rnacentral:rRNA from 1 species